UGGGGAAUCUUCGGCAAUGGACGAAAGUCUGACCGAGCAACGCCGCGUGAGUGAAGAAGGUUUUCGGAUCGUAAAACUCUGUUGUUAGAGAAGAACAAGGACGUUAGUAACUGAACGUCCCCUGACGGUAUCUAACCAGAAAGCCACGGCUAACUACGUGCCAGCAGCCGCGGUGAUACGUAGGUGGCAAGCGUUGUCCGGAUUUAUUGGGCGUAAAGCGAGCGCAGGCGGUUUCUUAAGUCUGAUGUGAAAGCCCCCGGCUCAACCGGGGAGGGUCAUUGGAAACUGGGAGACUUGAGUGCAGAAGAGGAGAGUGGAAUUCCAUGUGUAGCGGUGAAAUGCGUAGAUAUAUGGAGGAACACCAGUGGCGAAGGCGGCUCUCUGGUCUGUAACUGACGCUGAGGCUCGAAAGCGUGGGGAGCAAACAGG
rnacentral:rRNA from 1 species